rnacentral:rRNA from 1 species
UACGGAAGGCAGCAGUGGGGAAUAUUGCACAAUGGGCGAAAGCCUGAUGCAGCUAUGCCGCGUGUAUGAAGAAGGCCUUAGGGUUGUAAAGUACUUUCAUCGGGGAGGAAAAACAAAACUAAUAAUUUUAUUUCUUGACGUUACCCGAAAAAGAAGCACCGGCUAACUCCGUGCCAGCAGCCGCGGUAAUACGGAGGGUGCUAGCGUUAAUCAGAAUUACUGGGCGUAAAGAGCACGUAGGUGGUUUUUUUAAGUCAGAUGUGAAAUCCCUGGGCUUAACCUAGGAACUGCAUUUUGAAACUGAAAUACUAGAGUAUCGUAGAGGGAGGUAGAAUUCUAGGUGUAGCGGUGAAAUGCGUAGAUAUCUGGAGGAAUACCUGUGGCGAAAGCGGCCUCCUAAACGAAUACUGACACUGAGGUGCGAAAGCGUGGGGAGCAAACGAGGGAUUAGGAUACC